rnacentral:lncRNA from 1 species
CGCAACCCACCGCAACCUUGCUUCCCUUCUUCCCACCACCACUACAAGGCAACUCUUUCUUCACCGUUGUCGUUGUUUCCCCGGCCAGCGACCUUCGACCACCGCUCAACCUUCUCGCUGCCCCAUCUCGCUUUAAUAAAAAAAAAAAAAAAAAAAGGAGAAAGAAAAGAAGAAACACGAGAGGAAGAAGAAGCCGCAGCCACGCCUGCGUCCCCUGCUUCCGGCCAGCCCACCCGCCGCUGCUGCUCUCCGGCCAGCGCCCACCAUCGCCCCGCUUCCCGGCCGGCGACCACCACCGCCGCUGUUCCCCGGCCAGGAGACGACGCUGCCAGCGUCCAUCCCAGCCCUACUGCCGCCGCCCGCCUCCCCUUGCGU